rnacentral:misc_RNA from 1 species
AUUGCGUGAUUUUUGAAAUUUGCUAGACGUCAUGUGAGGAUCUUUUGAUAAAAUCUUCACCUGAUAUAAAGUUUCAUGCCCAAUUUGGUUAUUGCGGUGAUAAUUAAACAGCCAAAGAAUCAAAAAUAUUUCCAGAGGAGAAGAGGGAACCCUAAGUUCCAUGAUGUUCUAUAUUUUUCCCGUCAAAGAAGUAGACAAAAGAAAGUACAGAAGAUCAGAAAGAAAUUAAAGUGGGUUUUGGAAGAGAGCUUUCAACUUUUAAGAACGUACUGGAUAAAGCAAAGCAUCUCUCUCUGAAAAAGAAAACUGGCCAGCACAACCCUAGCCACGUUCUCCACUGACAUACGCUUUAUCCAUAUCAAGAAGGCUAAGCCAAGCAAAGGGAAAAUCAAUCAGAAUCAGUAUCAUCUUUCACCCACCGGUGCAACUGCAGCCUGUUCCUGCUGCUGGCUGCAGAUAUCUGCGGUGCAUCGCAGAGAUUUUAACUCAGUCUCAAACUUCAAAGCCAACCCAUCACGCAACAAACCACAAUGUAAAAAACCCCAUGACAAGACUCCAGAAUUCAGAAUUGCUGAUUUCGACAUCCAUGACUACUCCACAGUCCCCACACAAAGCACCAUACGUCAGAAUAGUCCAUGAGCUUUCUUUUCACUUCAGUUUUCUGAAUAAAAACUUAUUUUUUGCAACAGGGUUCCUAAAUUCUAAUUAUCAAACUAAAUAUAAUCAAUUUAUAAGAAAAUAAAUAUUUUUUUCUUAAAAGAUUAUUAAAAAAAAAGCUACACUGUUACUCCAAACUAAAAUCAUUACCACGUCACAUUUGAACUCAAAAUUAAACAGAGUUGAUGAAGAAGAUUACGAUAAUCGAAAGCCAAGCCUAAAGUAUUUUUUUUUUUUUCAAGAAAAAAGAGGAUCUAAUUUUCACAGUAAACUUUAGUAGGGCGGUGGAGGCGGUGGUGGCCUGGCAGUGGGUGCCCAGAUAAUAUCCGAGGGCAAAUGACAACUGUACAUAACCAUCCCACAAGACUCCCCUCCACCUUGCGUGUGUCCACUGUCUCCUCCGCCUCCACCAGCACCAGACACCGACGGGGAGUGACCCUCGCCGCCACCGCCAGACCCAGAAUUUCUCCCUUCGUCUUCAACCGGUAACCGGUGAUAAAUCGGGUUAUCGAACGUCGCAGCGAUGACGUACACAGUACCAGCUGCAACCAAGCUGCCAGCAACUAAGCCCCCAACGAUCUGGCCCUGAGGACCCGCCAGAGAGAUAGUAAAAGUGUUGGGCACUGGAUACGGCACCGCGUGAGGCAAAAACGUAGCCGAAAUCGAUAAAAUGUCGAAUCUUCCGUGGAAAGUAAUGAUAGACCCCGGAGUCGCCGACGGCUGACGAAGAGUGACGUUAGCAACGGUGCCAGAUCCUGUAAGAACGCAGAUUCCGAUGUUCUUGCGGCGACAAAAGCGAGAUAUCGUUUCAACGACAUCGCUUCCACCUGGGACCUCAAGAAUGUAAGGACUCAUAGCUGGUUCAGCGUCGCGCGUAAUAAUAACGGGUGGUUUAGGUUUAUUCUUAGAACCAGGGGGUCUGCCCCUGGGCCGGCGAACAACUUCGAUGGUAGCACCAUCAGUGCCAGCACUGCUAUUGGGUUCGGUGGGUUUCUGUUUCUGGAUUGGGGUGGCGUUGAUAGGGGUUGUGGUGGUGGUCGUGGUCGUGGUGGUGUUGGUGUUAGGAGAAAGGGUAGCUACGGCGGCGGCACCGG